GGUCGAUGAUGAUAGACGUUAAGGCUUGUUUCUCAAAAACAUUCGCAGUGGCCGCCUAAGGCUUUCGCCUUUCGCCGGGCUUGAGAGCUUAUGAUGUUUUUCUUAUCCUUCCUUGGAUGUCUGAGACC